rnacentral:tRNA from 1 species
CAGGGAGACAACAAAAUGGUUAAUAUUUUUAUUUUGUCACCUUAGGUCGAUCGGUAUCUCACGUUUUUAAUUUAUUAAGAAUUUCAUUUCCUAAGUUUUUCUAGGUCACACCCAUUUUUUUUCCUGGGCCAUUAGCUCAGGUGGUUAGAGCGCACCCCUGAUAAGGGUGAGGUCCCUGGUUCAAGUCCAGGAUGGCCCAUAUCUCUAUGUUGGGGGUAUAGCUCAGUUGGUAGAGCGCCUGCUUUGCAAGCAGGAUGUCAGCGGUUCGAGUCCGCUUACCUCCACUGAUUACCACCUCUUCCAUAACCGGUAGAAAGGAAAUUUUUUGAGUCGUGAUCAAAUUCUGAAAGAAUCUAGCUUCCUAAUGAAAUCAUUAAGAUGCUGGACUCAUUGAAUUAAUUUCAUUGUUUUCAGAGAACCUUGACAACUGCAUAGAUUUUUUUAAAAGACAAUAAGCAUCUUUAAUGAUGCAGAUUAAUUAUUUGUGCGAAUGCAUUAAUAACAAUUCUAUUAAGCUGAUGCUUCAAUUUUUGAAGUUAUU